rnacentral:rRNA from 1 species
GCUUGACUGUAUCUUGGUAAUUGGAUUCGGGCUUUUCUUGCGCAGUCUAGGUGGGAGGCGUUGAUGAUUUCUUCCGGGAAAUUGUAGCCAUCAGUGAGAGACCACUCUGAGAAAGCUAGAAUCCUAAUGAUGAUCCUUGAAUCAGGACACUUUGACAGUUGCAGGUGGGCAGUUUGUACUGGGGCGUAACGCCUCUAUAAAGAGUAACUGGAGGCGUGCAAAGGUUCCCUCAAUGCUGGACGGAAAUCAGACUGUAAGAGUGUAAAGGUCAAAAGGGAGCUUGACUGCAAGACAUACAAGUCGAGCAGGGGCGAAAGCCGGCCUUAGUGAUCCGACGGUACCGCGUGGAAGGGCCGUCGCUCAACGGAUAAAAGUUA